rnacentral:rRNA from 1 species
GGAGUACGGUCGCAAGAUUAAAACUCAAAGGAAUUGACGGGGACCCGCACAAGUAGCGGAGCAUGUGGUUUAAUUCGAAGCAACGCGAAGAACCUUACCUACACUUGACAUCCCUUGCAUUACUCUUAAUCGAGGAAAUCCCUUCGGGGACAAGGUGACAGGUGGUGCAUGGUUGUCGUCAGCUCGUGUCGUGAGAUGUUGGGUUAAGUCCCGCAACGAGCGCAACCCUUGUCGUUAGUUACUACCAUUAAGUUGAGGACUCUAGCGAGACUGCCUGGGUUAACCAGGAGGAAGGUGGGGAUGACGUCAAAUCAUCAUGCCCCUUAUGUGUAGGGCUACACACGUGCUACAAUGGCUGGUACAGAGAGAUGCAAUACCGCGAGGUGGAGCCAAACUUAAAAACCAGUCUCAGUUCGGAUUGUAGGCUGAAACUCGCCUACAUGAAGCUGGAGUUACUAGUAAUCGCGAAUCAGAAUGUCGCGGUGAAUACGUUCCCGGGUCUUGUACACACCGCCCGUCACACCAUGAGAGUUGGCAAUACCCGAAGUCCGUGAGCUAACCGCAAGGAGGCAGCGGCCGAAGGUAGGGUCAGCGAUUGGGGUGAAGUCGUAACAAGGUAGCCGUAGGAGAACCUGCGGCUGGAUCACCUCCUUU